AGCAAUACACUUGUAAAGCGGCGAACGGGUGAGGAAUACAUGGGUAAUCUACCAUCGAGUGGGGAAUAACCAGCCGAAAGGUUGGCUAAUACCGCGUACGCCUCCGGAUCUUCGGGUUCGGAGGGAAAGCCACACUGUGAGUGCGGCGCUCUUUGAUGAGCUCAUGUCCUAUCAGCUUGUUGGUAGGGUAACGGCCUACCAAGGCUUUGACGGGUAGCUGGUCUGAGAGGACGAUCAGCCACACUGGCACUGCGACACGGGCCAGACUCCUACGGGAGGCAGCAGUAAGGAAUAUUGCGCAAUGGGCGAAAGCCUGACGCAGCGACGCCGCGUGGGGGAUGAAGGUCUUCGGAUUGUAAACCCCUUUCGGGAGGGAAGAUGGAGCGAGCAAUCGUUCGGACGGUACCUCCAGAAGCAGCCACGGCCAACUUCGUGCCAGCAGCCGCGGUAAUACGAAGGUGGCAAGCGUUGUUCGGAUUCACUGGGCGUACAGGGUGUGUAGGCGGUUUGGUAAGCCUUCUGUUAAAGCUUCGGGCCCAACCCGGAAAGCGCAGAGGGUACUGCCAGGCUAGAGGGUGGGAGAGGAGCGCGGAAUUCCCGGUGUAGCGGUGAAAUGCGUAGAGAUCGGGAGGAAGGCCGGUGGCGAAGGCGGCGCUCUGGAACAUACCUGACGCUGAGACACGAAAGCGUGGGGAGCAAACAGGAUUAGAUACCCUGGUA
rnacentral:rRNA from 1 species